UCUUCUUCAUUCCUUCUCUCUUUCCCCUGUUCUUCACGGUUGCUGAUUCUGAGAGAAGUGUGAGAAUCGGUUUGAGAAGGUUAAUUAGUGAAGAUGUUCUGAUAUUAUAGGAGUUGGUGGUGUUGUUAAUCAUCAAAUAGAACGAUUAGGGAUUGUGCUUCGUGAUGAACAGAGAGAAGCAGUCAGGGUUUUGAUUUUGAUUUCUGAAGUGAGUGAAAUCGAUAAGAAAAUCGGCUAUUAAUGGAUGAAGAAACAAAAUGGUAUUGAUUAAUAGUAGCUGUGGAUAUUUUAGAUGAAGAAUCAAAUAAUUUAAGGUCUUGGUUUUAGGGUUCAAUUCUGGAAAUUGAUUGAGGGUUUAAAAGUCGAAUUAAAGGAUGGGUUUCGAAGAACUUGUGGUGAAGAAGAAGAUUAUGGAUUUGAUUUGUAGAUUCAGUUGUUGAGAAGGACCUUAAUUGCAGAAUUGAAGAAUUAGGGUUACUGCAUCAAUUGAAUGGUAAUUUAACAAUCCAGAGAAGACGAGUGUUGGCAGAGGGAAUGAUAUUAUGGUAUAAUGAUGUUUGAGUUAUGAAGAAUAGCUUGGAAUUGAUAGUUAGGGUUCGUUUCCAUUUUAGUGAACAUUUGGGAAUUGCAUUAAGGUUUGGUCAAGAACAGAUGGUGAUGAAGAUCAAUGGGUUAAUGAAGUGAAUUCAAUUGCUGAGUUGGUGAUGGUCUUGGGGAGAAUAACUGAAUCAAGUAAAGAAGAAUUGGUUUCAUGGCUUUUGAGAAAGUACAAGUGAACUCGAUCGUCGGAGAAAUAACUAGCUAAAGUGGGAGUAACAGCGGCGUUUGGGAGAAAAGGCAUCAAUGCUGGAAUUCAUUGUUCCAAGAAGACACGGAGCUUAAUGGGCUGCCUAGUCAACCGCUUAAGCCAGUGCACCACACAUACAUAACACGGCCAGAGAAGUAUUGAAUGAGUCAAAGAGAAGUAUUGAAUGAGUCAAAGAGUCGUGUAUUUCGUUGGGAGUUUCAACUCCACCUGUCAAGCCCAUCACACUUAUAUAUCUUAUGUCUUAAAAGAGAUUAUGGAGCACUCUCUUCAGAACUCCGAGCUGGUGAAACAAGUGAUGGAGUAUGUAUAUUCUCCUACUCAAAAUCAAGGUAUGAGUCUUAUAAUGGCUGAAAUGCGGUCCGCUGCUGGUGUUGGCUCGAAUGUGAAGUAUAGGGAAGAACUUGUGAUCAAACUGCCUCGGUUUAGGAUUGUGCGUUGGAGUUGGUUUUGCUGGUGAACGGAAAGAUUGGCAACGGAGAUGGAGACUUACUGGCAGGCGUUGAAGAAUGUAAAGAUAUGAGAAGAGAAGGAGUCUUAUCUACUGUAAGCUGCAUGAUAGAGUCUCGGGCCAUCUGAUGAGAUGAAGAAAGGUUAGCUGUUGGCCUCAUUUGAUGUUCUGCGAAGGAAAGGAAGAAGUUGGCAGCAAAAACGGAAUUGGGGUUCGUUAAUAAGGACCUGAGAUUGGGGUUUGUUGUCUUGGCAGCGAGAUAAAGAAGUGCAGCAAUGGAGAAGGUUAUGUGUAUCUGGCAGACGUUUGGAGCUGUGAAGUCGAGCAUUAGAGAUGGUUUUCGUACAUAGAACUGCAGUUGAAAUGGAAGAACUAGGUGAUCAACUGCCAAGGUGUUAAGUGGAGAUGCUGAUGAUAUGGAUGCUGUGAGUUUUCGAAUGGGGUCUUGAGUAUAACCCAUUUGUAGAACUGGUGCUGAGAAGAGAGUAAGCAAUCUGUGUCCGGUAUGACGAUGCUGUGAUUGUUGGCGUUGCUAUUCUAAACCAGUGGGGUGACGACAUUCUUGGAGCUGAGUAUUGAAGAUGUUUGAUCGAACGGAUUAUCGCUGGUGUUGUUUUCCUAUACAACAAGUUGGGACGAGCUUUAGAAGACUCAAGGAUUAGAAAUUGCAAUCGCUGGUGGAUGGAAGAACAGAGAUUUGGAAUGGAGUUUGCUGGAGUAUGGAAAGGAGUUGGAUUUGGACGUUAGGGUCAGUUGUUGGACUGGGCCUUGCCAGAUUUGCUAGGUCUCAGUUUUAGACUCUCGCAGCAGAUUAUAUGAGGGGAAAAGAUAACCAGAGAAAGGGACGCUGCGGCUACUGAGCCGUAUAGAAGAAUAGGGCUUGAAGGGUUUUGAAGUUCCAUUCUCUUUAAUUCGGUUUUAGCUAGUUUGAUUUGAAUAUGUUUAUGGCUAGAACCAUGUUAGGGUUUAGAUGGAAACCAAUUUAAUUAUAUACUCUACAAUGAUAUCUUUAAUAAUGAUUUGAUUGAUUAA